rnacentral:rRNA from 1 species
AACGAACGCUGGCGGCAUGCCUGACACAUGCAAGUCGAACGAGAUCUUCGGGUCUAGUGGCGCACGGGUGCGUAACGCGUGGGAAUCUGCCCUUUGGUUCGGAAUAACAGUUGGAAACGACUGCUAAUACCGGAUGAUGACGAAAGUCCAAAGAUUUAUCGCCAGAGGAUGAGCCCGCGUAGGAUUCGCUAGUUGGUGUGGUAACGGCGCACCAAGGGGACGAUCCUUAGCUGGUCUGAGAGGAUGAUCAGACACACUGGGAGUGAGACGCGGCCCAGACUUCUCCGGGAGGCAGUAGUGGCGAAUAUUGGACGAUGGGCGAAAGCCUGUACCAGCUAUGCCGCGUGAGUGAUGAAGGCCCUAGGGUUGUACAGCUCUCUUACCCGGGAUGAUAAUGACAGUACCGGGAGAAUAAGCUCCGGCUAACUCCGUGCCAGCAGCCGCCGUAA